rnacentral:rRNA from 1 species
AAGAGCUCGUAGGCGGUCUGUCGCGUCGAAUGUGAAAACCCGGGGCUCAACUCCGGGCUUGCAUUCGGUACGGGCAGGCUAGAGUUCGGUAGGGGAGUCUGGAAUUCCUGGUGUAGCGGUGAAAUGCGCAGAUAUCAGGAGGAACACCGGUGGCGAAGGCGGGACUCUGGGCCGAUACUGACGCUGAGGAGCGAAAGCGUGGGGAGUGAACAGGAUUAGAUACCCUGGUAGUCCACGCCGUACACGUUGGGCGCUAGGUGUGGGGGUCCUUCCACGAUCUCCGUGCCGCAGCUAACGCAUUAAGCGCCCCGCCUGGGGAGUACGGCCGCAAGGCUAAAACUCAAAGGAAUUGACGGGGGCCCGCACAAGCGGCGGAGCAUGCGGAUUAAUUCGAUGCAACGCGAAGAACCUUACCAAGGCUUGACAUGCACGGGAAAGUUCCAGAGAUGGUUCCCCCGCAAGGUCCGUGCACAGGUGGUGCAUGGUUGUCGUCAGCUCGUGUCGUGAGAUGUUGGGUUAAGUCCCGCAACGAGCGCAACCCUUGUCUUAUGUUGCCAGCACGUGAUGGUGGGGACUCAUAAGAGACUGCCGGGGUCAACUCGGAGGAAGGUGGGGAUGACGUCAAAUCAUCAUGCCCCUUAUGUCUUGGGCUUCACGCAUGCUACAAUGGCCGGUACAAAGGGCUGCGAAACCGUGAGGUGGAGCGAAUCCCAAAAAGCCGGUCUCAGUUCGGAUUGGGGUCUGCAACUCGACCCCAUGAAGUCGGAGUCGCUA